rnacentral:rRNA from 1 species
UCAUGAUGUCCAUGGCCCAAAUAGGGCAAUGGUGGCCAUUGAGGGCGAAUGCCUCAAACUCUAUAGCCAUAUGUUAUCUCUAUGGGUAAACCAGAGAUAAUUAAUUUACAACCAGUAAAUUAAAGACCAUCAUGGUUGAUGUUGUACUGAACUUAGCAAAAUCAAUGGGUAUUUCAAGAAGUUAUCUUAAAACCAUUAGUGUGAAUCUGGAAUACCCAUUGAUUUGGCAAACAUGGAAAUAUAUUACAUCAACUUAGAAUCUGGAAUACAUCGGUACUCAACAGAAAACAGUACUAAAAUAUGUAUACUGAUUUUAGCAGAUCUAAAACAGAAAUAAAUUACAGCUAGAAGUGCUGUUAGGAGAUUAAUUGGUAAUCUGCUAAAACAAAUGUGCAAAUGAGCAAAACGUGGUAUGCUAUGCUGGAUGCCUAAAUUCCCAGCGCAUGCAUAUGGCCAGUUGGCCACGUAAGGCAGCCCCGACCUGGUCAAAGCGAGUAGAUAAGGGAGGGCGACUAGAUGAAAUAAACAGGUCUAGCAAUUCCCGAGUCACUUCGAUCCCAAAUCCACAGCGGAGACCGGCGGAGGACCCCAGCGCCGGCUGGCCGGCCGCAUCACCGGCGGAGAGAAGAUCUCCCGCCGCGCUCGUCCUGGAGGAGGAGCCACCGCGGAGGUGGGUGCCGGGCCCAACGCCGUUGUAGGCACCAUCCGCGAGCGCGAGCGCUGCUGCUGCGCGGCCGGAGCGGCUGCUCGACGGCGGACUCUUCAGCGGGACCGCGAGGGCCCCGGGGCGGCGGCGCGUGCCUGUGCGCCGCAAAGGCGGAGGAGUGGUGGGUGUCUGGGACGGUGCGGCAGCUUUGGCAUCGACUGCCGUGGCGCAAGAGGAGCCGCUCACGCCGGAGCCAUAGAUGAAGACGAAGGCCCCGAGUCCCCGACCGGCACGGACACGAAGGCGAGCGCGUGACAGGCGGCGACCUCGACGACCACAGAGGUCGGAGAUGGCAGCGCCGCGGCCUCGUGCUCGUCGUGUCGUCGUCAAGGACGACGAUGUCGUUCCCUGGCGCCGCGCUCAACCGUCGCGUGCUCCGCGUUGGGAGCCGCCACCGGCUCGGACUGCAGCAGGCCACUGAGCCAUGGUCACGCGCAGAAGGGCGCCGCUGAGCCGCGUUCUAGAUGGAGCGCUCGCACUGCUUGCAGGCUGUAGGUCGUCCGUGCCGUGGAUGCGAACAGAGGCUGCUGCCUCCGGUCUUGGACAUGAGACCGCAUCAUGGACAACAUCAUUCACCGUUUGAGGUGAGUGCCGAACCAGAAAAGUAAUAAAAAUAGAAUAGCAUCACCUGUGAAGAAAUCCACAGGAAGAGGGUGUCGAGAGGGUCGCCGUGCCGGGGCUGUGGUCGCCUCGGGCUGGUGCAGGAGGUCGAGGCUGCGGGGUCACUCGGCGGCUGAAGACAUGCGCCGCCGUGCCGCUCUGCUGGGUGAGGCCUGCUCGCGCCAUACGCCGGAGGGCUUGUCCUGCCACCAGUUGCCGACGACGACGCUCCGUCGGAGAGCGUGCUGAUAACGUGUGAAGAAUCGAUUGUAAACGAACAAGAGAGUCGAACAAAUGAAUCGAUAAGAUACUUUUCCAUUGAUGAUUGAACACUUAGGGGAACGGACGCAUCCAAAGGACGCGAAGGUUCAGGAGGCGGUUCCGACAUGUGGGUUUCACACCGUGGGAAUAUCCACGUGCGGUUACAAGUAAAGAUUGAAGUAACUAAUUACAUUAAUUAAUUAAAUUCUAACAGGAUUAUCCUGUGAGCCAUGC